GGACCUAAGGGCGAUCUGUCUGGCUGAGACACUUGUCACUGCAUUGGUCAUCAGGGUCAAUUUGGCUGAUCUGGCUGGACAGGUGAGUGUCCCCUUCCUCCACACUGCUCCCUGUGUGUCCCUCUUGAAGCUGUGUGGUCCAUCCAAGAGGAUGACUACACUGAGAGAGGAGGACCCUUUCCUAAGUCAAGCGCAUAGGAGUAGCUGCACUUUCCUGCUGGAACCUCCAAAUAAGCUCUCAAAAUUAUACCUAGAAAAAAAUUGAGAUUGUGAAUUAUCUGGUUAAUUCAAUUCCCCAUCCAACCAAUGUAAAUGAUU
ensembl:misc_RNA 7SK 7SK RNA